AAGCUCAUCUCAUCCAACUCCCCUGACAGAGCUGCAGCAUCUUUUUUCUUUCUUUCUUUUUUUUUUCAAUCCAGUUUUCAUUUUUAUUAUUUUUUGUCCCACUUCUCUCCCAUCUCCUAUUUUCCCCCAUCUUCCUCCUUUUCUUUCCAUCUCCUUCCUUUCCACCUCUUUCCUCUGAUCUUCCUCUUUCCCCCAUCUUCCUCCUAUCCUCUCCAUCUCCUUCCUUUCCCUCCAACUUCCUUAUUUCCUCUCCAUCUCCCUCCUUUUUUUCUGCCCCUUUCCCACCCCACAUUGCAUUUUCACCUUUCCCCCCCAAACUCAGAGCACCUGGGCUCUGUUGGAGUCUCCUCCCACCCCAGCUGUGACCACUUUGCCCUCCCUGCCCACUCCCCUAUUUAAUGGGCCCCAGGAAAGGCAGAAGCCCUAAGCUUGCCCAACUGGGCAGAGGGAUCCUCCUCAUCUCAUCACUGAGCCCAGUCUCCUGUGCAGCUGUGCACCCUCUUGCAUGCCUGUUGCCUCACCACUGCCUGAUAAACUCCACUGCCUCGAGUUGCCAGGAGCAGACCCUGGAUUGCCUGUACAUGAUUGGGCUGUGUGGUCAGUGUGACAUCGUGUUGAGACUGCACAACAUCCUGCCUGUUCCUGAAAGUCUUCCUUCUAAGACUACAAGUCCUGGAGAUCAUCCAGAGGAGCUGGGGAUGAGGUUGGGGAUUGUCUGCCUCCUUUCAACAGUAGCCUGGGAGAAAUCAAGUCUCAGCUGCCAAUCAGACUUCCACCUGCUUUGGGUACUGCCUGAGUAAUAAUAAUCUGUUAGUAAAUGCUUAAAUGCCUCUGUAAUUCUCUACUGCCUUCUGCCACAGAGCAGAAAGAGCUUCAGCCCAUCUACUGGGCAAGCAACAUAUUGACCCCAAGUGGCAUUUGGCCGUGGGGAAGUUCUUCUCUCUGUUUAUUGUUUGAAUGUUUGCUAGAUAAUAAUAGUUCUGUUUGGUGUUAUUCCUAGAACGUCUUCCAUAACUGUGUAAGAACAAAUAUUAAUAUUAAAAUUCUGUGGCUGGGGGGUGGAGAGAGUUGAGAAUAUUCCAAUCAAUAAAUUAUAUAUUUUUAUAAA